UGAAGCUCAGAUAGGAUGCUUUGGGCGGCAUCCUACCCUUUGCAUCCCGUUGCCAUCCGUAGCCGAGCGCACAAAAUAUGAGCAGUCCCUUGAAAACCUAGACGGAACCACAGCUCAAAAAAUAGCACACCGCACCACCGGAGAAAAUAAAAAACCAGAAGACACUCUUAUUAAUAACCAAUGACUACAGUUGAGGAAAAAGUUGAGCAAUUAGAGUGUUUACCACCGGAGGAUGAAGCCCAAGAAGAUGGUGAAGGAGAAGGAGAAGAGGAAGAACUUUCAUGGUCGUCUGGCUCCGAAAUUGGAGAUGCGUUGGAUUGGUUAGACUCAAAAGAGGAUGAAGAUGCUGUAGAUGGAACUAUUACUCUCAGCUCUAGACGUCCAAAUGCUCAUGGAGGCAUUCACUCUCGUUCCAAUUCCUCCACUCUGCAACCUCUCUCCAAUCGCAACCAGAAGUUCUCUCAUCACAUUCGUGCUUCGCCUUUGGAGGAGUGGGAAGGCAGGUUGAACUUCGGCAUGUCUAAUUCUGUGACAACUGCAAUUCGUGAAAGUGUUCGAGACAUGGCCAUUGGUAAAACUAAAACUACUGAGAAAGCAGAUCGUGCAACAGUAGAGCAGGCCAUUGAUCCUAGAACUCGCAUGGUUCUCUUCAAAAUGCUGAAUCGGGGUGUAUUUCAUGACAUUAAUGGCUGCAUUUCCACUGGAAAAGAGGCAAAUGUGUAUCGUGCAACAAAAUCUGAUGAUCAGGAACUUGCAAUCAAAGUGUACAAAACUUCGGUUUUGGUUUUUAAGGACCGAGAUAGGUAUGUACAAGGUGACUAUCGUUUUAGGCAUGGAUACUGCAAGUGCAAUGCUAGGAAAAUGGUAAAGACAUGGGCUGAAAAAGAAAUGAGGAAUCUUAUGAGGUUAAAGGCAGCUGGAAUUAGGUGUCCAACUCCAUAUCUUUUGAGACUUCAUGUUCUGGUUAUGGAAUUCAUAGGAAAAGCUGGUUGGGCUGCACCUCGACUUAAGGAUGCUGUCUUAUCUUUGGAUAAAUUACGUGAAGGUUAUGCAGAGAUGAUUAUUGCAAUGCGGACUUUGUAUCAGAAGUGCAAACUGGUGCAUGGUGACCUUAGUGAAUAUAAUAUACUCUAUUUUGAGGGCCAUUUGUAUGUAAUUGAUGUCUCUCAAGCAGUAGAUCUUGACCAUCCUCGUGCCCUUGAUUUCUUACGUGAAGAUUGUGUUCAUAUAUCUGAUUUUUUUAGGAAACAUGGUGUAGCUGUCAUGAUGAUUUGAGAAUUAUUUGACUUCAUAGUUGAUCCAACCAUUACUGAUGAUUCUAUUGAUAGUUACUUGGAAGAGGUUCAACAAAAAAUUUUAUCAUGGGAUGUCACAGCAGAGGAUGAAAUUGCAGACUCUGUAUUUGUGCAGUCAUAUAUUCCAAAGGCACUAGAUCAUGUCAAGAAUGCUGAGGAGGAUGUGAUACGGAUAACAAGCGGCAAGGAUACGAAAGAUAUGUACUAUCACACCAUUACAGGACUAAAGGAGGCUCUUUCCAAAGUUCAAUCUUCUGCAAUCCAAAACGAUCAAAAGGAGUCUUCCGUAAAUGAGGAUGGCCAUUCUAAUGCUCCUGAGAGUGGAUCUGAUUCUGAGACAGAUGAUGAAGAGAACUCGAGUGAGUCAGAUGAGAGUGGUUCCUUGUCAGAAGUUGAGAAAAAGGAUCCUCUUGAUAAAAAAACUGCCAGAAAAGAGAACAAAAAGAAAGUUAAAGAAGAGAAGAGAGAAGCUCGGAAAACUAAAAUUCCGAAGGCUGUAAAGAAAAGAACGAAGAAAUUGGCCAAAGCCAAGAAGACUAGAUGAGCAUUUUCUAGCUGGGGGGUACAAGCGUGCACUUCAUACAGAGGAGCAGCAUAGAGUGGUGGAGAAGUUUUAUUAGAAGUGAUAAAGGCCAGUUCCGCAGCUGCAUUUAUUGAAAUAAAAAAAAAAAAAAAGCAUCAAUUUUGAUAUCUAUGCUAUUACUGCCUUUUACAGUUCAAUUCGUUUUAUGUUUGUUCUAAUUUUUGGGUUUUAGCAGGUAUAGUUUGUCAUUUUAUUAGGUGCUCUUGUAAAUGUAAGAGGAUAGGUUCAUCUCUGUUGUAUGAUAGCAGGGCUUGUAUUUGGUUUCUUACAUGUGCCCUCCUGGUCCUUGAGUUUGAGUUCAAUUCAUUUCAAAACCUUUUAA